rnacentral:lncRNA from 1 species
AGAAUUCCACGAGUUUUGGUGUUUGUCUAUUUCUGCAGGGGGUUAUUAGGAAAUAUGGAAGAAAGGCCCACAUGUCAGGAUUACGUAAAGAUAUUAACGUGCUGCGCAAUUAUCUUACAUCUAGAAGACUCCAGAAGCCACGAGACCGAAGCGGAGGCGAAACGGGGCCAGAGACAGGGCGCCCGCCCUGUCCUACUGGGCGCCCGCCCUGCCCCCAAGUCCAAUG